rnacentral:lncRNA from 13 species
AGGAUCUCCUGGGGCCAGUUCCACACUCCCGAGGGAGCUUUGCUUGGCCUGGCUUGGCUCGGGUGCACAUUCCUGGGCUAAUUCAACAUGGUUAGGGCAGCGUCACAUUGUAAAAACGUCCCCAUCUGGAUCAGAAAGAGCAGACCCUAGGAAAGUGCUGAAAGGCGCUGAAGGUGUGGGGUUCAUGCAUAGGGACCCCAGAACCUGAGUUACUCUGCCCAGGGAAGAUGGCACACGGCCGUGUGUGUGCCUUCCAGGAUCUCAGUGCAGCUUGUUUGCGUGUGGUACGUGUGAGAUGGGUGGACAGCAAGAGAUUUAGGGCCACAGAAGCUUCUUGAUUUCUGUCCGAUGUCUCCAAGCCUGGCCUGUAGCACACUACAGGCCCCUCAGGUGUUCAGCUGGGACAGUAAACAGUCAUCCAGGCCUUGCUCGUCACACCAGCCUGCGACUUGAGCGUGCAAUGUAAAAGCAGGUCGCUGCCCAUAAGGGAUUACCCUGGAUCCAGCAGGAAGUGGUGAUAGGUCACUGUUAUGCGCAGUAGAAAGAGAGCCUAGAUAUUAACUUGCCCCUGGUUGUCUUUGCAUGUGCUGUGUGUGUGUGUGGUGUGUGUGUGUGGUGUGUGUGGUGUGUGUGUGGUGUGUGUGUGGUGUGUGUGUGUGGUGUGUGUGUGUGGUGUGUGUGUGGUGUGUGUGUGUGGUGUGUGUCCUCAGGGAGGGACGGCUCCACCAGCGCACAACCAGUGUUCCCCUGAACUGGAAGUUGAGGCUGACGCUUGAGAGGCUCAUGAGGCAAAAAGGGGGGGCCCUUUAACAUCCGGGUGGUUCAUCCUGCUUGCCAAGGGGAAGCUGGGUGCUGCUGUCGACCAGGGCAGAAGUCUAGAAGCCAGGGGGAGUCUCUGGGGCGCCUACAAGUACCUGCUGUGCAGUCAUAGAGGCCAGUGAGGAAGAGCAGCAACAGCCAAAGGCAGGAGACAGACCCUGCCCAAAUGAAGCCUCGAUGAUCCCACCGAAUAGAGAGCCCCGACUAGCUGAGGUGCAGGCAGAGGGCAAAGGGGAGCCGCACUGGCUGCAGGGCACAGGAAGUUGUACGUGCCAGCAGGUCUCAGGACUACUUAUGGGGCUGGACUCCGUGGCUAAUACCUGUAAUUCCAGUGCUUUGGGAGGCUGAGGUGGGAGGAUCACUUGAGGCCAGGAGUUCAAGACCAGCCUGGACAACAUAGUGAGACCCCAUCUACUAAAAAUACAAAAAAAUUAGCCAGGCAUGGUGGUGUGCACCUGUAUCCCCUGCUACUCAGGAGGCUGAGGCACAAGAAUUACUUGAGCCCGGGAGGCAGAGCCUGCAGUGAUCCGAGACUGCGCCACUGCACUCCAGUCUGGGUGACAGAGCACGACUCUGCCUUAAAGAAAAUGUACAGGAAUUGUGAAUGUACAACCAGGCAUAAAGCAGACACCUGUGUAACAGCAUCCAGGCCAAAAGCAUGGGGCCAGCACCCCAGAGUGUCCCCUGGGCCCUCCAAGGCCCACCCUCCACCCUCUAGAGUGGCCAUCACCCUGACCCUGACGCCAUGCAGCGGCUUUGUCUAUAUGAACUUUGUAUGAA